rnacentral:lncRNA from 1 species
GUGGCAUCAAAGAAACAUGCAGGUGGGCAUGUUCUGGGUCAUGCAACCACAAUUAGGUUGAUGUUUACGAAUGGCAAAGGUGAGCAGUGGGUUGCAAGGUGUUCAAAGCCCCAGACCUACCUAAAGCUGAAGCUAUAUCCUUUUUGUCUGCAUCUUCGUCUAGCUAUACGCUUUAUCAAAAUUUUCCAGAUUACACUGCAGACAUUAAACGAAAUUUCUAGAAAUCUAAUAUCAAUCGGAGAGAAAGUUGAUACUGAGUCUAUAUAUGGAUAGGUGGAGACCAGAAUUUGAGCAGUAUACUUGUAGUAUACUUACAUGUGCUGCCCGUGCUAUGGAAACAAAAUACCCAACCAUUGAUGAUGCCAUACUACAGAUCUUCCUCUAGUUAUAUACUUCGUUGAAAUUUUUCAGACCAUACUGCAGAGACCAAGUAAAAUAUCUGGAAGUCUAUAUCAAAAUCUGGGAGAAAGUCGAUACUUAGUCUACAUAGGGAUAGGUGGAGACCUGUUUUAAGCAUGAUACUCACUGUAUACUUGAUGUUGCCUGGAGAUUCAUGAACAUGUUGAAUACGAAUUUUGUCCAGAGAAAUUAAACAAAAAGAAGUAGCUAUUGAGAAUUUUCCUCAGUAGGAUCGGUAUGUUAUUUUUAGUUGUGCUGUUAUGUAGACGAUGCACAUCUAUCAAGACCAUCACUUGAUUUUAUCAAAAAAUUUAGGAAGAGCUCAUCUGUCAAUAAGAUGAGACUGAGAUAUUCCAUAUAUGUUGAACUUGACAAACACAUGUUUUUCAGAUAACACCAGGAGGCAUCAUCGAUAUGAAGGACUGAAGGAGUCUCACCAACCAGGAAGACUGGCGAAGUGCUUUUUUUUGUUAAUCUGCAAUUUGAUGUUAGUCAUCGUAUUGACCGCAAGAGGCAUAUAAUGAGCUCCCGAGCACUUGUUCAUUUCCUUUCUCUGCAAUGGACACUUUGUCACCCUUGUCAUAGCUUGUCCCUAAGUUUCAUGCGCUUGACAACAAACCAUUCAUGAAUGACAUGAGAUACUUUCUCUAACUGUGAUGGUGAC